GACGAACGCUGGCGGCGUGCUUAACACAUGCAAGCCGAACGGAAAGGCCCUGCUUUUGUGGGGUGCUCGAGUGGCGAACGGGUGAGUAACACGUGAGUAACCUGCCCUUGACUUUGGGAUAACUUCAGGAAACUGGGGCUAAUACCGGAUAGGAGCUCCUGCUGCAUGGUGGGGGUUGGAAAGUUUCGGCGGUUGGGGAUGGACUCGCGGCUUAUCAGCUUGUUGGUGGGGUAGUGGCUUACCAAGGCUUUGACGGGUAGCCGGCCUGAGAGGGUGACCGGCCACAUUGGGACUGAGAUACGGCCCAGACUCCUACGGGAGGCAGCAGUGGGGAAUAUUGCACAAUGGGCGGAAGCCUGAUGCAGCAACGCCGCGUGCGGGAUGAAGGCCUUCGGGUUGUAAACCGCUUUCGCCUGUGACGAAGCGUGAGUGACGGUAAUGGGUAAAGAAGCACCGGCUAACUACGUG
rnacentral:rRNA from 1 species